rnacentral:rRNA from 1 species
AUGCCGAUCGCCAUGGACACUGGAGGCGCGCCGGAGCCGGAGCCGGAGGAGGAGACCGUCGUCCUCCCUCAUUGGGUGAUGCUGGACCGCAAGGGCAACACCCUCUGCCACAACAGUCUAGAAGCUGCUCGUGUGGCUGUCGACAAGGACAAGACCGCCGCUCCGGUCGACAUGGACGGCGGCCCCUCCUGCUACGUGGCCUUCACCCUCGCGGCUCCUCAAAAAGGGAUCUCCUGCCUCAACCUCCACUUGCCGGAGGGACCUCCAAUUGCCUUAGACACCCCGCCCGCCUAUGCCUUCCUCCGGGCAACCGACAACAACCUCGUCCUCUUUGACAUCUCCAACCCGCAGAAAAAAGUCCUCUUCGACAUCUCCAACCCGAGCCAGAGUUGCUACUGGGAACCCCCGGCAGAUCUGUUCGUCUACAAGGCCGGCGGUCCUCGCCCCUCGGUGCAGCGGCUCCCACCCUACACAAUCGAGAGCAACAUGCCGUUCCUGAUGGGUUUCGUCACCACAGGCAUCCUGCGGCUCAAAGAUGAGGAUCGCUACAUCGUUGCCGAUAUCAAUGUCUACCGCGGAAAAAAUGGUAUGUGUGCCCAACUCUGCGUCUUCCGCUCUGGGGCUAAACAGUGGGAACUCAGCCCCGAGAUGCCUGCCCCUCAGCCGCAGGACCAGAGCAAUGGCGGCCAGUUCCCCAACCUCUGGUCAACCGACAAUCUGCUUGCUUUUGCCGGCCGUUUCCUGUGCUGUGUUGACUACAUGAGUGGUGUUCUGCUAUGUGACUUCGCGAUACAAGACUUAUCCCCGGUGCUCCGCUUUGUGCCUUUCCCUGGGAAAAAUGAUUUCUCUGAUGAGGAACGGGUUGAAAGGCGCUUCCCUGACAGAUUCCGAAGUGUGUCCAUCAGCCAAGGCAUGCUGUGCUUUGUGCACAUUGACAAUGACUUCCAUGGGUCGCCUCCUGCGAGAAAAAGGUGA